rnacentral:lncRNA from 1 species
UUUAGAUAUGAAGCAUGAACUUAGACACUUGUCUUGGCUCUGGGAUUCUAUAAUUUAAACCUAUUAUAAAUCAUCAAUAGAGUUGCAUAAAACCAGGGGUCGGCAGGUGGCGCAGCAAAGUGUGCAUGUUCCGCUUCAGUGGCCCGGGGUUCACUGGGUCGGAUCCCGGGUGCGGACACAGCACUGCUUGGCAAGCCAUGCUGUGGUAGGCAUCCCACAUAUCAAGUAGAGGAAGAUGGGCAUGGAUCUUAGCUCAGGGCCAGUCUUCCUCAGCGAAAAGAGGAGGAUUGGUAGCAGAUGUUAGCUCAGGGGUAAUCGUCCUCAAAAAAAUAAAUAAAUAAAAUGAAAUCAUAAAAUAUCAGAGACCAUAAAGGCCAUGAUCACCAAAAACCUAAACAACGCUUAAAUCUUGUCUACUAUAAAUAUGAAUUCCGUAGGGAUAUCCAACUGAUGUUUGGAUUACUCCAGAGAAGGAAAAAGUUACUACCAGCCAACAUAGCUCAUUUCAUCUUUGCAUAAUCUCUGACUCCUAAAAUAUUCUCUUUAUUAUUCCAACUUACUGGGCUUCUUGAAGGCACACAGAACAAGUCUGAUCCAUCUUCCAUAAAGAAAAGCUUCAAAUAUGGACAAUAACUAUCCCAUGAAUCACAGCUCCACCAUUAAUUUGGAUAAACAAUUUAACUUCUUUGAAGCUUAAUUUCCUAGACUGAAGAAAAAUGGAGAAAGUGCAUAUUAGGUGUUUUGAAAACUGUAAAGUGCACCUCAGAAGUUAGUUAUAAUAUUAGAGUGUUUUGGAAGCAGGUAAUUUAGAAACUAAUUACUGGAGAACUUUAUUAAAUUUAAGAAAUGCAGGGCCAGUCUGGUGUUGCAGUGGUUAAGAGCACAUGUUCCACUUCGGAGGCCUGGCAUUCGCUGGUUCGGAUCCCAGGUGCAGACAUGGCACCGCUUGGCAAGCCAUGCUGUGGUAGGCAUUCCACAUAUAGAGUAGAGGAAGAUGGGCACAGAUGUUAGCUCAGGGCCAGCCUUCCUCAGCAAAAAGAGGAGGAUUGGCAGCAGAUGUUAGCUCGGGGCUAAUCUUCCUAAAAUAAAAAA